rnacentral:rRNA from 1 species
UAAUGUCUGGGAAACUGCCUGAUGGAGGGGGGAGUAACUACUGGAAACGGUAGCUAAUACCGCAUAACGUCGCAAGACCAAAGAGGGGGGACCUUCGGGCCUCCUGCCAUCGGAUGUGCCCAGAUGGGAUUAGCUAGUAGGUGGGGUAACGGCUCACCUAGGCGACGAUCCCUAGCUGGUCUGAGAGGAUGACCAGCCACACUGGAACUGAGACACGGUCCAGACUCCUACGGGAGGCAGCAUG